rnacentral:tRNA from 1 species
GUAAAUAUAGUUUAAUUAAAACAUUAGAUUGUGAACCUAACUAUAGAAGCCUAUCGCUCCUUAUUUACC